UACAGAGGUCCCAAGCGUUGUUCGGAUUCACUGGGCGUAAAGGGUGCGUAGGCGGUCGGGUAAGUCUGAUGUGAAAUCUCACAGCUUAACUGUGAAACUGCAUUGGAUACUAUCCGGCUCGAGGAAUGGAGGGGAGACUGGAAUACUUGGUGUAGCAGUGAAAUGCGUAGAUAUCAAGUGGAACACCAGUGGCGAAGGCGAGUCUCUGGACAUUUCCUGACGCUGAGGCACGAGAGCCAGGGGAGCAAACAGG
rnacentral:rRNA from 1 species